GAUGAACGCUGGCGGCGUGCCUAAUACAUGCAAGUCGAGCGAACGGACGAGAAGCUUGCUUCUCUGAUGUUAGCGGCGGACGGGUGAGUAACACGUGGAUAACCUACCUAUAAGACUGGGAUAACUUCGGGAAACCGGAGCUAAUACCGGAUAAUAUUUUGAACCGCAUGGUUCAAAAGUGAAAGACGGUCUUGCUGUCACUUAUAGAUGGAUCCGCGCUGCAUUAGCUAGUUGGUAAGGUAACGGCUUACCAAGGCAACGAUGCAUAGCCGACCUGAGAGGGUGAUCGGCCACACUGGAACUGAGACACGGUCCAGACUCCUACGGGAGGCAGCAGUAGGGAAUCUUCCGCAAUGGGCGAAAGCCUGACGGAGCAACGCCGCGUGAGUGAUGAAGGUCUUCGGAUCGUAAAACUCUGUUAUUAGGGAAGAACAUAUGUGUAAGUAACUGUGCACAUCUUGACGGUACCUAAUCAGAAAGCCACGGCUAACUACGUGCCAGCAGCCGCGGUAAUACGUAGGUGGCAAGCGUUAUCCGGAAUUAUUGGGCGUAAAGCGCGCGUAGGCGGUUUUUUAAGUCUGAUGUGGAAGCCCACGGCUCAACCGUGGAGGGUCAUUAGAAACUGGAAAACUUGAGUGCGGAAGAGGAAAGUGGAAUUCCAUGUGUAGCGGUGAAAUGCGCAGAGAUAUGGAGGAACACCAGUGGCGAAGGCGACUUUCUGGUCUGUAACUGACGCUGAUGUGCGAAAGCGUGGGGAUCAAACAGGAUUAGAUACCCUGGUAGUCCACGCCGUAAACGAUGAGUGCUAAGUGUUAGGGGGUUUCCGCCCCUUAGUGCUGCAGCUAACGCAUUAAGCACUCCGCCUGGGGAGUACGACCGCAAGGUUGAAACUCAAAGGAAUUGACGGGGACCCGCACAAGCGGUGGAGCAUGUGGUUUAAUUCGAAGCAACGCGAAGAACCUUACCAAAUCUUGACAUCCUUUGACAACUCUAGAGAUAGAGCCUUCCCCUUCGGGGGACAAAGUGACAGGUGGUGCAUGGUUGUCGUCAGCUCGUGUCGUGAGAUGUUGGGUUAAGUCCCGCAACGAGCGCAACCCUUAAGCUUAGUUGCCAUCAUUAAGUUGGGCACUCUAAGUUGACUGCCGGUGACAAACCGGAGGAAGGUGGGGAUGACGUCAAAUCAUCAUGCCCCUUAUGAUUUGGGCUACACACGUGCUACAAUGGACAAUACAAAGGGCAGCGAAACCGCGAGGUCAAGCAAAUCCCAUAAAGUUGUUCUCAGUUCGGAUUGUAGUCUGCAACUCGACUACAUGAAGCUGGAAUCGCUAGUAAUCGUAGAUCAGCAUGCUACGGUGAAUACGUUCCCGGGUCU
rnacentral:rRNA from 1 species